rnacentral:tRNA from 1 species
UAGGAAGUGGUGUAGAGGAAGCACUAGGAGUUUUGAUCUCCUCAGGCGGGGUUCAAAUCCCCUCUUUCUAA